rnacentral:rRNA from 1 species
AUUGAACGCUGGCGGAAUGCUUUACACAUGCAAGUCGAGCGGCAGCACGGGGGCAACCCUGGUGGCGAGCGGCGAACGGGUGAGUAACACAUCGGAACGUACCCUGUCGUGGGGGAUAACGAGUCGAAAGAUUCGCUAAUACCGCAUACGACCCGAGGGUGAAAGCGGGGGAUCGCAAGACCUCGCGCGACUGGAGCGGCCGAUGUCAGAUUAGGUAGUUGGUGGGGUAAAGGCUCACCAAGCCGACGAUCUGUAGCUGGUCUGAGAGGACGACCAGCCACACUGGGACUGAGACACGGCCCAGACUCCUACGGGAGGCAGCAGUCGGGAAUUUUUGUCAAUGGGCGAAAGCCUGAACGAGCGACACCGCGUGAACGACGAAGAUCUUAGGAUUGUAAAGUUCUUUUGCUUGAGAAGAACACGGUUGCGACAACAUCAAUACCGUCUGACGGUACCAAGCGAAUAAGCUCCAGCCAACUACGUGCCAGCAGCCGCGGU